GCGGGAAGCGCGCGGAGCCACACAAACACGUCAAACAUUGACGCCAGCGUCGCUAAUUCCCCACUAAACAGCGCUGCUUUUCCUUCUCCCGUCUCUGUUGGAUAGGGAAACCGAGGGUGCACACUUGGAGCUCUGUAAGUUAACUUUAUCAUACAUUCACACAGACAUUCAUACCUUCACUUACUUGCCGCGCGCCCAUUCAUUCACGCGAUCAUCCCGGCUCAGGUGUCCAAACGAGGAAACAGAUCGCGCGAUUUCCGGGUGUAAAAUAGAUAGGUACGGCGGGUCAAAGUGGCCACAUGAUACAAGAAAAAUUAAUUCUCUCCUGUUGAUUUGGAUACAAACUUAUAGAAAAAGGCCUGAAGGUUAAAAAUGGUUUAAAUGUGAAUAAAACUUAAAAGCUGCCAUAAGUACGACAAGCCAUGGUGGAAACACAGACAACAGCCAUCCACAGUUUUAGCACAGAAGGGCUAAAAUAAGGUUCCUAUGGCUGGAGAACUAUUCUGUAUUAUCAUUGGAAAUGGUUCUCAAAGCACCGAUGAUUUAAAACCUGCUUUUGUUUUGCAGUUAGGAGCCUCCAUGCUGAAUCUUUACGACCGUUUAAGAUAAAAAGAUCUGUCUCUCACUUCUAGGCCUUGAAAAACACGAACCCCUAAAAAAAGCAGUAAAUGAGCAAUUACCCAACAGCCUUGUUCAGACAAACCCGCUGUGAAUUUAUGGCUCCAUUCACUGUCAACAGUCUAAAAAUUAAAUUACCCCAAAUGACAAGAAAUAAAUAAAUUACUCAGUGAAGUGUGAGAGAUAAUCAUGUGUACACCAAACACUCACAUUAGAGCCCAGACGUGAGACAGCCACGAUAACUUAUCUUUAAACCGAUCCAGAUCUCGUGGUCUGAUGAAAAUGCGAAUUGAUAUCACCUGUGUUUGUUUACGCUCUGCACUAUUUUCACAAAUGACGGUCUCUCCCUAUAAGCUCGCCAAAAAAUUUACAGCGCGCACGAGCUGUCAGGGAUACAGCUGUUUAUUGGAUUUGUUUGUUGACGCCAUUGUAACACUGAUGAUCAGCGCAUGGAUUACACCCGUUUGACAGCUCUGUGUGACAAAUCAGUCGAGGCGCUUUCUGCAUGAAUGGGACUGAGUCAAAGUGUAAUCCGUGUAGCACAAACAGAAUCUGUGAUUUAUUACAGGUCUGUGUUUUUCUUCGUGACUCUUAGAGGGGAAGAAUAAAUCUCUGACCUCUUUUAUUGGUUCGUUGCAGUCCUGCGUGUGUCCCGCUGAUUAGCACGACAUCGUUUGAUUCUUUUUCAUAUCACACACCAGUUUCCCUCGUAGUUAAGGUUCAAAGCGACCUAUUUAAUGAGAAUUUUCAACAAAAACACACCAGAAUUGAAUCAAUGGACUUUAUUUUUAUGCUUUCAGAGGCACGGACACAGAAAAGAGGGUGAUGACAGGAAAAGCUGCUUCCUGUCCAGACAGCGUGGAUGGGGAGAUGUGCUGAUGUGGAACAUGGCCCGAAGCACAUCCCUGCCUCUCUGCACGCCGCCCAUUAUCUCCUAUAGGGUACAAAGCAACCCUGCUAUGGCGAGCAUUUCCUGCUUCCUCUCCCCGUCGCACAGUCAGGUACGUGCAUGAGUCCGUCACAUGACUUUCCACUACAACGCAGCUGGAGAGCAGAGGGCGGAGGAGAGCAUCUCGCCAGGUCCAGACCUCCAGAUUUAGUGGGCAGGAAGUGUUGUCGAAGAACAAAGCAAGUCUAUGUUUGUAACAGGCUCAGUGAGGGUGUGAAAUGUUGGAAAAUAUCUUAAAAAUUCGGUCUAACCUCAUUUUAACUCGGCUGGAUUCAGUUCAAUAGAAAGCAUCUACUGACACACAGUUAAAGACUCGGCAGGAGUUGUCUUAUAGUCCGAUUUCAGUGGAAAGGUUUCAACCGUAAAUAAAACUAUGGCACUAAAGAUGGUUUUUAUUUACCAAUCUAAUAAAACUGAAGUCUAUGAUAUAAAAAGCAAUAAAAGGCAUCAUUUUCUAUUGUUAUGUGUUGCGAAUUUCUGACUCCUCAGAAGUGCUGCCAUGAAAAUCCUGCGAGUAAACCUCAGUCUAAACACAAAGUAAAUUUCAGGAGUGCCACAUUCUCAUUAAAUCAGCGAAAUAAAGACAAAUGGAUGCAAAUGUUUUAUAGGCGUAAACCGAGGCGAGUUAAAAGAGAAUUUCAAAACGUACUCCAGCUUAAGAAACCUUCAGUUUGAGCCAAAAAUUCUCCCUCAUGCUGAGAUUUUGAAAACAGCUCAUGAAUGUAGAAGAAGGAAAAGAAAACUGAGAAGAGGAAAGAGAAAACAAAAGUUCUCUGUCACAGAGCUUCAUUGAGAACAUUGAGAGUUACCUCGGAGGUCAGAAGUACGAG